rnacentral:tRNA from 1 species
GUUCUUUUAGUUCAAUGGUUAGAACAAGUGGCUACGGACUACUAGAUGUAGGUUCGACUCCUGCAGAGAAUA